GUCCCGGCGAGCGCUGGUGCGGACGGGAGGCUCCUGGCCCGGCGGACUGACUGGAGCACGGACGCUGCAGCCGGUUGGGCCGGUGCCCUUUCCCGCUCUGGAAAGGAAGAGAAAUGGAAGUGAAAAAAUUGAGCAUUUCCUGGCAGUUCUUGAUAGUUCUGGUUCUGGUCCUGCAAAUUCUGUCUGCGUUGGAUUUUGACCCAUACAGAGUCCUAGGGGUCAGCCGAACAGCCAGUCAGGCUGAUAUUAAAAAGGCUUAUAAGAAGCUCGCCCGGGAAUGGCAUCCUGACAAAAACAAAGAUCCUGGAGCAGAAGACAAGUUCAUCCAAAUUAGCAAGGCUUAUGAGAUCCUUUCCAACGAAGAAAAGAGAUCGAAUUAUGAUCACUACGGAGAUGCCGGAGAGAACCAGGGCUACCAGAAGCAGCAGCAACGAGAGUAUCGCUUCCGCCAUUUCCAUGAGAAUUUUUACUUUGAUGAGUCUUUUUUUCACUUCCCUUUUAAUUCGGAGCGGCGGGACUCCAUUGACGAAAAGUAUUUAUUGCACUUUUCACAUUAUGUGAACGAAGUGGUUCCAGAUAGCUUCAAGAAACCCUACCUCAUUAAGAUCACCUCAGAUUGGUGCUUCAGCUGCAUCCACAUCGAGCCCGUUUGGAAAGAAGUGGUUCAAGAACUGGAAGGACUGGGUGUAGGAAUCGGUGUGGUCCACGCUGGGUACGAGAGACGCCUGGCCCAUCACCUGGGAGCACACAGCACACCCUCCAUCCUGGGAAUCAUAAAUGGGAAGAUCUCCUUCUUCCAUAAUGCAGUCGUCCGUGAGAACCUACGACAGUUUGUAGAAAGUCUUCUUCCAGGGAACUUGGUGGAGAAAGUUACAAAUAAAAAUUACGUCCGAUUCCUCUCUGGCUGGCAGCAAGACAAUAAACCUCACGUCCUUCUGUUUGACCAAAUGCCCGUCGUACCACUGCUGUACAAGUUGACCGCUUUUGCAUACAAGGAUUACUUGUCAUUUGGAUACGUACACGUCGGCUUGAGAGGGGCAGAAGAGAUAACAAGGCAAUACAACGUCAACGUCUACACCCCCACCAUCUUGGUCUUUAAAGAACACAUCAACAAGCCUGCAGAUGUCAUCCAGGCCCGAGGUAUGAAGAAGCAGGUCAUUGACGACUUCAUCACCCAAAACAAGUAUCUACUGGUAGCCAGGCUCACCAGCCAGAAGUCGUUCCAUGAGCUGUGCCCCGUGAAACGGUCUCACCGACAGAGGAAGUACUGUGUGGUUUUACUGACUCCCGAGGCUACCAAGCUGGGGAAACCCUUUGAGGCUUUCCUGUCCUUUGCCCUGGCAAACACGCAGGACACAGUGAGAUUCGUGCACAUCUACAGUAACCGGCAGCAGGAGUUUGCCACCACCUUAGUACCGGACAGUGAUACGUUUCCAGGAAGAUCCGCGGUGUCUAUCUUGGAAAGGCGCACCACGGGAGGAAGGGUAGUGUAUAAAACCCUCGAAGCUCCCUGGACGGGGAGUGAGAGCGAUAAAUUCACCCUCCUGGGCUAUCUCGACCAGCUGCGCAGAGACCCCGCUCUCCUGUCCUCGGAGGCAGUGCUCCCCGACCUGACCGAUGAACUUGCCCCUAUCUUCCUCCUCCGGUGGCUCUACUCCGCUUCCGACUACAUCUCGGACUGCUGGGACAGCAUAUUUCACAACAACUGGCGGGAAAUGAUGCCCCUUCUGUCCCUGGUCUUCUCUGCCCUCUUCAUCCUCUUUGGCACAGUCAUCGUUCAGGCUUUCAGCGACUCGAACGAUGAGCGAGAGUCAAACCCUCCAGAUAAAGAGGAAGUCCACGAGAAGGCCGGGAAGACUGAGCCAAGCUUCACCAAAGAAAACAGCAGCAAGAUCCCUAAAAAGGGCUUCGUGGAGGUAACGGAACUCACAGACGUGACAUACACCAGUAACCUGGUCCGCCUGAGGCCGGGCCACAUGAACGUGGUCCUCAUCCUGUCAGACCCCACCAAGACCAGCUUACUGCAGAAGUUCGCUUUGGAGGUCUACACAUUCACUGGGAGCAGCUGCCUGCACUUCUCCUUCCUGAGUCUCGACAAACACAGAGAAUGGCUGGAGUACUUGCUGGAGUUUGCUCAAGAUGCAGCCCCAAUCCCAAACCAGUAUGACAAGCAUUUCAUGGAACGGGACUACACGGGUUACGUGCUGGCCCUGAACGGCCACAAGAAAUACUUCUGCCUCUUCAAGCCCCAGAAAGCAGUGGAAGAGGAGGAAGCCAUGGGGUCUGGCGGUGCCCUUGACUCUUCCCUCCAUCUGGGCGAAUCGCGGGGGAAACCUUCCUGUGGCCUUGGACCCAGGCCCGUCAAAGGAAAAUUGAGCAAGUUGUCCUUAUGGAUGGAGCGGCUGCUGGAAGGCUCCUUACAGAGGUUUUAUAUCCCGUCGUGGCCCGAACUAGACUGAGAGGGGCUCAAGAGAGACUUAAACUCUUCAGGCUUUUUAAUAGGCCCCUGCGAACAGGCCUUUUCAGGACUCAACCUAUCGCCGAGGACAGAGAAUAGAUUCUAGAUUAUUCUUCUGGACAAUGGCUAGAAGAAUCUUUCCUUUGUCCUGUUCUAACCUAGGAGUGAAAAACACCUCAAGCUGAAUCCCCCAGAUCAAAAGAUUUUCCUGUGGGUCUCUCCGCCCUCGUUUGAAUGCCACACCAUUUAAAGCAGACUGCUCAUUCCCUCUUUUUUUGUCGUCCCGUCCCGUCACAUGCUCACACCUCGCUCCCCUGUCCUGUCUCUGUGCUGUGGGAGAAGCUGGGGACUCCAGCCCGCAGCGGCACCCAGAUGGAACCUCGCGAGCCCGGAGUGCUGGUCGGGUCACUUCCCACCCCCGCUCUGCUUCUGCCCCGGUGCAUGCUGCGUCACCCGGACAGCCCACGGCAGCUUCUAGGCCCUGCAUCCCGAAAGAGGCCCGGUUCCAAGCAACCUUAACAUUUGAUAGUUUUUCCAGUAGUCAGUGGCUAAAAGUAUAUUUGGGGGGUAUCCCCCUGCCCCAGUUUGGCAGCCAGAGUUUUAAAAGGCUGGGGAUAAGUGGGGGCUCUGCAUGUGAAUUUGGUUUCCUUCCCAAGACAAAAGAAGGGAGGGCUGGGCAGUGACCGAAGUGACCUCUCGGUGGUGUCCCCCCGGCCGCCGCCUCAGCACUAGAUGUCGCCAGGGAGGGAUCUGCACGGCAAGAAGUACUGUAAUGACUUUGAGCCAUUCACGCGUAUGUUUUCCCAUGCCUUUCUCCCUCUGUCAGUUUUAGGGUAUGAAUCUUAGGAGCCAUGAUUUGUGACCUUGUUCUCCGGACGUAGAGAUAAGCUGCUAGAAGCCAGUAGAUGUUCAAUGAAGACACCUCAUUCCCACCUGCCAUGAAUCAGGCUCGAGGAACCUCUAGUCGUGUCUCUUUAGUAAACUACCAGACCUGUCUUUGUAUCAAGGAACUUAAAAUUUCUUUUCAACAAUUGUAUUUUGAACACUGUUACCCCCAAAGUGCUGUAACUUUGAGCUCUCUUUUGUGACAAGUGACCCAAGACUUGUUCUAGACUCCUGUUUGGCAAAAGGCUUACUUUGAGCUUCUGGCCUAGAUUUUGAUAUCUCAGUUGCUUUCACUCUUAACUCAACAACUGCUUCACCAGUAACAGGGUCCGACCCACCAUCAGCACCCAGCUUGCAGAGCUCCAGUGCACAGUGGAUCACACCAGCCAGCUAGAGAGCUUGCCUUUUUUUCUUGUCUUUUUUCUUUUUCUUUUUUUUUUUUUUUUUUUUUUUUUUGGGCAGAACCACCGGUGGAGUUUGAACAACUUCCAAGAGUGGUCAGUUCUGUCAGAGUAAAUUUGCCCUUCUAUAAAAAGAAGGGUCGGAAUCAGUGAUGGGACAUUUACUGAGUUAGUAUUUCUUUAAUCAUAAUUGCUUGAAACUAAGCGAUUUGGAUCCUGAAUAAUUUAGAUACUGAGCUACAGUGGCAAGUAAUUAAUUAUUUAAGCCCAGGAGUUCCUGUAGUUUCCGUGGAGUCUUUAGCUUUGUUUAAAAAAGAAAGAAAGAACGAAAUCACUGCCAGGCUGCAUUUUUUUUCCACAUGAUCCUCUAAAAAUUGGAUGCUUGCUCUGGUGGCCGUACCUCCUGGCACCUGGCCCAGGCAGGCGUGAUUAAGGGACUCAUUUGGUUCCUCGAUGCACCGUCCUCCGAGUUAUUUUCUAGGUCUCUUAUGGCCACGUUGCUGAUGCGAGUGGUGUUUUGGUUCAGUGGUGGGCUUUGAUUUUUAACUUCUGGUACUAAUGGGAUUCGUGACCUUCAUUUCUGAAAACAGAAUCUCCCCAGCUUUGUUCACUUUAAAAAUGUUUCCCAUUGAAAUCAAAAGCACCUUCGGACAGUUAGCCGCACCCUCCUUUGCACUGAGAAAGGAAAGUGAGAAUAGGAUUAGAAACAUUCCUGGCAAAUUCUUCCACUGGUCUGUUUGGGGCUGAAAGAGAUGUCCCCCAAGAGGACACUAGGGAGGUUUUACUUCGACUGAACUUCGCCCUUGACCACCCAAGCCUAUCCUCCUGAACGUUCCCGUGAAUUUGUUUACUUUUGUGUCAAAUGUAUGAGCCGCUGUCACACUCGGCCAAUGCCACCUUUUCCUCUCUUGUGUGUAAUCACACAGACCUAAUUUCAGCUUUAAGUUAACUUCCUGGCCUUUGAAUAUGUUGAGACUGACAAUGUUGUUUUAUUUUUAGAAGUAGGGUUUUCUGGUUGAUGAUAGAGACUACGCAUCAUGUUUAGCGGAUGGGGAUGAAAACUGGCCUAAAACAAGUCUUUGUAGAAUACACACCUACUUACAAAUAUUUUUUUUAUCGUCCAGGUGCCGGUGGCAUAAUUUGUCUAAGAGAUUGUCAGCUAUGAGUCAGCAGCGUUUCCAUAAGACCACCUUGACUUCCAUUAAGCACCACGGUCUCUCUCUGCCAUCGCCUACCGACCGUGAAAAUUUGGCCGUACUUUUCAAAUUAAUAGGCUGAUUGCCUCCUCGUUCAGCACAUACAUGUUUUUCCUGAUUCAAAAAGAAAUGAGGUCUAACUGUGUUUUAAGUGAUUUGCUUUGUUUGGGAAAAGAGAUUGGAAGCAGACACUCAAAUUUUUUUUCUAAGUAAAAUUCUUUAAAAGCUGAUGCAGAAUGUCUUUACAGAUGAAAUAAUUGCUCGCAUCCAAAUGCCUGACCUUGUCCCUUGGAAACAAAUGCAGUGUGGCAGCCGUGAAUCUGUCCACUCAGUUUGUCAAGGAGGAGGAUGAAACUUUAGAGAGCGGUCUGAAAAGAAGAAUAUUACAGACUGGAAACAGAAAUAAACUAUUUUAAUGUGUGACGAUGACGCGUCGCCCUUGCAUCAGGAAGAGGAGGAUUUGAUCGCGGACCCAUUCUCAACAAAAUUGAAUUUGCGUGUAACUCAAACACAUGCCUGAAUCUUCAGUGCAGAUCUCAGGAGCUGCUAUCCUAGAGGGUGGGCCAGCGCAAAGAGCAGAUGAUGCGAAACUGAGGCAGGGAGUAGGUUAAGGAAGUGUCACCAAGGGCACUUUGGAGGCCACCCGCUGUCUGGUUGAAAAGACAUUCCAUGCGCCCUCCUGGGCUGUUGGGUGGGCAGUUUCUUUGUGAGAGUCUGCAUGUUACUUUCAAACUAUUUGUUUAUGUUCACAAAUGGCCUAAAACCCAGAUGCAGCCCUGAGUUCCUCAGGAGGAGCCAUAGUGUAAAGGAAGAGAAACUGGAGACAUAGGAGAUGUUUAUACGGGAUUCUGUCCUAUGGGUUUUUUUUUUUAUUUCAUUUCUCCAGUUUUUAGAUAAUCCUAAACUCUGUCCCUUGUAACAACACACGUGCUUCUCUUUAAUUCAGACUCCUUAGAAAUAUUAGCUGUUGAAUCAGACUUCUACUGAAUGCCCUGAUUUUACAGCCUCCAGUGACACUCUAGCAGAAGGUUUUACUGGCGUAAACUCUUGAGUACUCGGGCCUCUUGCACAUAAAUUCCUGAGAACCUGUCAUCGACACAAGCUGCUGAUUUAUCAGGAAGAGCACGAGGUUCAGACGACUGUCACUUUGGGGAGCACACACAGCAUCUCAAACAGCAGGUUAGCCGCCAGGAGGGCCGUGUUUCCUACAAAGAUAAAAAACCAAAGGUGAACACCGAGCCAGCGGGCCGAGCCUCUCGCUUGCCUUCGUGCUGCCUUUGCAGAUUCCCUCUUCUGCCCAGCCACCCUAUGGACACGCUUUCCCCUGAACCAGAAGGCUCUUUGUUUACAAACAGACUCCCACCCCAAAGGAAAGCCUAUAAUAAUGGUGUGUAUUGUAUUUAUCACCUACCCUCCUCCGAAGCUAACAGGCCUCAGUCUGUAAGUUCUCUAAAUUGAAAUUGUUGGGGCGGCCUCUGCUUUGAAUAUCUCUCCUAAACCAGCUAACUGCCCACUUUUUUAAUAUUAAUAAACAUCACUUAGGCCGCGACAA